rnacentral:lncRNA from 1 species
UGUCACGCCCCGGGGUCCCUUUUAGGUUAAAACACAGCGAAAUUUUUUUUUUUUUUUUUUUUUGGAAACCUGACCCCAGGGUAUGCCAGAUCCGCCACAAAUACAGGGAAUCCACUGCUCACGCGGACAGAGUCUCCCCUGUAUUUGCACGGCGUCGCACAAGUACAAGAGUAUAGCCAGGAAACAACCACAACCAAAUGAAUAUAAAGAUACCUAUACAUUCAUACAUUCACCAUUCACAUCACAGUUUUACAUUCAAUGUUUAAAUAGAAAUCCACGAAAAAUUCUUUUGAAAACUGUUUCCUACACGGAAACCUUUAUUCUUUAAAAACGCUACCACGAGGGGUAGAAAACCUUUUAUUUUACAAAAUCCAGAAAUCCACAUUUUCAAAUGUAAACAAACACUGAACCACAUGAACCAACUAAACUAUACAUCAACCGAAGUAAGAAGGGUAAGAAACUAAACCGAAAUAACCUGGGUCGGAAGCUCUAUCGACCGCUACACGCGUACCUCACGCCUCGUCUCAACCCUCACCGCCCGCGAUACCUGAAAAAUGGUGGGGGAGGUGAGAACAUGUAAACAUGUCUCCCCUCCCAGUGGGUACCGCAAGCCGAUGAAGGCGAGGAGUGCUCACCAGAUCAGGAAGAGCUAUACAACAACACGGGUCAGUGGAAAUAUAGUAGCAACAACAAUAAACGAAAGAGAUAUGUAAGGAGCUGACAAGCAUAGAUGCAGGUAAAUAAAACAGUAGCUACAAUAAACAGAUAAGGAUGUACUGGAAAUAAACACUACAGCUACUGUAUGCAUGCGUCAACUGACGAUAAGCUCAAAAGUACCCAAUCUCGCUGCCCUACUGGUCCGAAGACCUCAAGCCCAUGCCACACUGCUCAACCUGCACCUGACUCUCGCAAUGAAGCCCCUGGGUCAGAAGCAUAGUACCUGACCCUCGCAAUGAAGCCCCUGGGUCAGAAGCAUAUACCCUCGCAAUAAAGCCCCUGGGCUCACGGGUUGGCAAUCCAAUCACUUUUCCGGAAAAGAACACCCUCUUGCGGUGGAUCAGACCGCUGGUGUUCGUGAAAUGCGUACCUGCAGUGGCGAUCAAUGUAGUAUGCUCAAAGAUCAUCCAUCGGCAACUAGCCGACAAUCCAGCCCCUCAGGGCACGCCGACCGUAUAGGCCAUCAGCAACUAAUCGGCUACGUAAGUCAAGAUAGAACUGUAGCAACUUGACCGAAUAGGUCAUAGAUAUCAAAAUAGGGAACCGCCCAACCAAAUCACAGAUAUAGUGAACAGAUAAGUCAACUCUACUCCUAAGUAUGAUAUCAACAAGGAAAUAACUGAGUAGAGGAAUGCAGAACAGACCAAUUAGGUCAACAGAAACGGAAUGCACAACAGACCAACUAGGUCAACAGAUACGGAUGCGGAUAGAACCACUCUACUCCUAUUCAGGAUACUAAGCAUGCAAACAACGAGUAGAGUAUAAUCAAACAACGUGGGUGUAAUGUAAUCAAUAGAGGUGCAAAGCUUAACAUAUAACAUAUGCAUGGAUAAUAAACAAAGGAGCAAGGGUAAGAAACCAUUACCGAGCGUGCACCACUGUACCGACGUCGGAUCGAAGUACCCACCUGUACAACUGUCGCGCCUGUCUCCUGACUGCAAAAGAACGUCAACAGGACCUAAGGAGGGUCCACUGGGUUAGUGUCUAACCCAUAGCUAAGAAACCCUAAAAGCAUAAACCCACAAAUAAACCCACGAGAAUCGGUUUCCCAAACCGAUCGUCGUAAUACGCCGGAAGUCCCGAAAACCACACCGGGACGCCGUCGGGACCCACUAAGUGUCCCGAAACUCACCGACUCUUGUCACGAGUCACCUACUGCCCUAAAACACUCCAAUUUGGAUGUUUUGGCAGCAAACACAAGAUAACACCACUACACAAUUAUCGCCGGAUAAUUGUACGAACACGGGUUCCCGGAAGUGUCAAAUUCGACACCGGAACCCACCGUCGCUCACCCGUCAUCACCGAACCCACAAAGUGAUGAUGGUGACCAGCCAACAAGGCUUAGCGACCACUCACAGAGCAACCAAACGACGUCGGAAGAAAUCCGAACCGAAACCGCGUUCUUUCGGCGAAUUUCGCCGAAAAACGCAUCGAAAUCGACUCUUCGAUUUCUGCAAAAGCUAACGGAUCAUGGACAAUCAGUCCAGAGGACACGACACAUGUCUACACACUGUCCACAGUAGCCCCAAGGCUCACAAUUGCACAAAAGCCCCUGAAUUUACAUAAAAUCCCAAUAUUUUAUGUAAAUCGGGCGAUAACAUAGCCCGUACACGCAAACCGAGGACUUCUAAGUUCUGCUGAGACACAUACUGAUAGGUCUCGACGUACCGGAGGCCGUGCUCAUGGUCUGGAGCGCAACAGGUCACUGUGGGAAGCGCGGGAGCAACCCGAAGGUUCAGCGAACAGCGCGCAGUCGGGGAAGAUUGCUCCAAACAGGGCUAACCGGACACUGUUGAUCCAAAGUGAGGUGAGCACUGUGAUCAGAACUGACCCACGAUCACCGUGCUCACCUCCGGAGGCAUCAGGACAGCCUCGGAUCGCCGGAUAAGCGUGCGCAAACCCAAAACAGCAGCCAAACAGGCUCGACAGGGUCGACACUGCCGAAACAGCGGAACGGAGUCUCCCCGGCAGAAUCUAAGGUGAGCACGAUGAUCAGCAAUUUUCUACGAUCAUCGUGCUCCCUUUCGCAGAGAUCGGGGAGGCUCAGGAAGCUCAGAACAGUAAACCAUCCCAAACUAAGCCCUAUUUCGGGCUUGGCCGGAGCAAGGUUGCUCCGGCCGGCCUCCGGCGGCACGGCGGCGCGCGUGGGGGCCAGGGAUGGGUGCGGGGGAGGUGAGGAACACGAUGCUCACCUCCGUUGGCAGCGAGGUGCGGCGGCGGCGUCGGCGGAGCAAGGCAUGCCCGCACGAGCCAGGGCACGGGUCCGAGGGGUGUUGCGGCCACGGCGACGGCCGGGGUAGGUCGGGGACGACGGCGGCAGGUCCACAGAGGCCGGAGGAGGAGGAGGAAGGCGGCGGGCGACAGCGGCGGCGGCCCGCGGCUCGGGCGUUGCCGCUCGAGCUAGGCUCGGUCUGCAGGCCUAGGCGGCGGCGCCCAAGGUUCAGGGCGGCGGCGGCGAUCCGAAGGGCGGCGGCGACCGGCCGGGAAAGUCGGUGGGACACAGGAGAAGGCCGCGGGUGUGGACCAAGGCGGCUGCGGCGCUGGGGUGGAGUUACCAAGUCUGGUCGGUCCGAGCAGACCUGGGAUGGCUGCAGGGUGGUCGCGGCGGCUGCGGCGGCCCGCAGGAGCGCCGGCGACCCGCCGGGGUGGUCGCCGAGGGUCCGGGGAUGGCGGCCGGAACGGGUGCAGGCGGUGACUGCGCGCGGGGAGGCCGCGAGUCAUCCUCGACCUAAGCUCGGCCUAGGCAACAGCCGGGUGCAGCAGCGGCCGCGGCGGCGCUUGGCGACGGCGGCGGUCGGCGGGGAUGCUCGCCGGAGCACGGGGCGACACCGGCGGAGGGUCUGGAGGUGGCGGCAGUCUCGGGCUUCCUCACAACCCGAGAUAAGAGAGAGGGAGAGAGAGAUAGAGAUGGAGAGGGAGAGAAAGUGGAGGGGGAAGCCGGGGAGGUCCCUCCGGCGACCGCAGCGGCUUGCCGGCGGCCAAGACGCGCGCAUGGGGUGGGCAGGGAGGAGGUGAAGCGGUUAGGAGGCUAGGGUUUUCUCGGAAUGGUGUAGGGUUAGGGUUUCACAUGAAAACCCUAACUCUUUUAGCCUUAUACUAGAGACAAAUUGCAAGUAAGUCCUCCAAAACUCAAAAUUUCAUAACGAGUCCUCCACAGCGCAUGUAAAAACGCGAGAAUACCCCUCCAUGUACGAUCCCACGCAAAACGGCACAUAAAAUAUCGCAUCUUUUGCGAAAUUACAAUUUUGCCAACACCGACCUCUCUUCGAUCAACGUGCGAUCUCCGCAGAUCCGUCCAUCGGAUUUGCGAACGGAUCACACCAGUGCGAUCAGCACCUCGAAGAUAGCAAAGCUACGAUUUUUGGUUCACCUCGAUCGACCACAGAUUCGCGACGAAAUCCAUCCUCUUUCCAAAAGGCCACAAUGACGCACAAUUACAUAAGAAACAUGUAUUUUCAGAUUUUCUCGAAAUCCGUGCGUCAAAACCAAAAUCCGUCAGCGCCAUUAGUUCCAGAAUAGCUGCAUCCUUCGAAACGAGCUAUUGGACCGCUAUUAACGGAGUCCGAUACGCACGAGAAGCCAACUCUACUCCGUGGCUUCUCCGGAAAAUCGGAGUUACUAUUCACUUAAGUGAAAACUAAAAAUCGCGUAACUUCUCCGUUUUAGCUCAUUUUCUCCUGAAACUUGACGAGUGCUUAUGUAAUUAAAUUACACACAUAAACAUCGUCAACAGAAAGUUUAGUUGCACUGUAAAAAAACUCAGUCCUUACAUUAUCCCCCCCUUAAAAGAAGUUUCGUCCCCGAAACUUGACCACAUACCCACCGAAAUCGAAUUCGGAUAUUACUUCCACCACUGUGGUAUCACCUUUGAGUAUCGGUCAAUUUCAUUUUCAUGAAUUUGGACAGAUCAAUCUUCGAAUAAGGGAGAAAAAAAAAUAGGACUGCGGUUCCACCUAGACAAAUCGAGGGAAAACGUACCAACCCAAAAUCUAUGGACCAAAGCUCACCGGUAUUAACAUCAUCCUAUAACCUGCGGACAAAGACAGUCCUGCGACUAGGAUUAUUCGAUCCCAAUUUGCCAAUUCUGAGAUAAUUAAUCAACAUUCAUAAAUUUAGGUCCAUUCUACCUUGGUCCGCACACCAGUAACUGACUCGACUACGUCGAAGGUUCACGUAGAAGAGACUCGAGUCAGCACCACUCUAAUCUAGAGUCUAUUUACGUAGAGUUGAAACGAAAAACUCCGACUAUCCAACAACGUCAACCUGCUCACCAAGAGCGAAUACGAAGCGUUGUUCUAAAACCUGAGUCAAAACUCUCACCUUGGAGACCACAGUCUUCUACCAGUAACUACACAAACUGCCAAAACCUCCAUCAAUGGAUAGUCACUUACGACAAUCUAUAGUCCUAGGUCCAAGACCUCACUUUUCACUUGACCAAAAGGUCCAACUGACGAUACCAAUUGGGCUAGACAAUUUUGUCUCCUCAAACUUAAUCCGGUACCAACAGACCACCAAAUUCUCUUGCAAGUCCAUCACUUGAUGCACAGGUCGCCAAUCGCAACUGCGAUACUAACCAUCGGUGAUGCUCAACACUGGUCUCCACAAGACCCUGUCGCUGUCGUCCUACCAUGGACCCUAGCGAUCGAUGUUCCGAGCAACACCUAGAUACCUGUCUCACUGAGACCCAGGCGCACCUGUCACCAAAUAACCGGACAAGCAAGCUAUCCCAAGGUUUGCACGAUAAGCUAAGUCGCAAAUCUUUUACGCUAUCACAUAUGAUUCUGAACCUCACGACGACAGACCAAGACUACUAUCCAAACAAACCUUUUAAUUGUGGAAGGCACAACUAAAGAGCUACGAACACCCAAACUCGAACUAGAGUCAAAAACCCCUUUAUCAGUGACGAUAAGUCCACUGUGCAAAACCUGCCAAGGAAGAACCUAAGGCUCGCUACGUGGUCAAAGAUGACUAUUACUCGAGCUUUUCCCACAAAACAGUCUAGAGAACACAUCGACCCAAUCCAGAAGUCCCCAAGCAGGAAAAAAAAAAUGGUAUUUCGUCCCUCUUUCGAUAGUAUAUUGUCUGCAGCCAAUAUACUUAUCAAAAGAAAAACGAAAUAUCCGAAGAUCCACUACCAACAACGAGUUGGAAGUACAACGCGAUAAAGUAUCAAGCCACUUGAUACCUCUCUACUGAACCAGAAGCUCACAACCAUUACUAUCGAAACAUCGACUUUACAAGUCGACAUUCGAAAUCAGAAAGACCCUGAACCGACUCACAGGGAGUCCCACAGCUUUCAACAUCUGAAAGCUACUUACGACACUAAGUCGCCAACUACACAAACUGAGGCUUCAGGAAACGAUUUUCCUAACAGAUUUCCGCACCAUAACCGAGCUAUAAUCAAAGCUCCGAGAAUUCCGACAAUAACCUGGAGUCCCUCGAAUCAAGACGAAACCUAUCACCAACCACAAAUUAACCCACAACACACCAAUUUAGGUGUUAGAACAAUCGCAUACGAUGUAUGUAUCAACGAAAACUUGACACCAGAACUGUGUCAAUCUGACUCUGGUAGAAAGAAUGAACGAGGUAAAAGUCAAAAGAUUCGAACCGCUGAUUCCAAUCAGCAAUCAAGGAGGAAAAGUAGGCAUCACAACCCUACUCAAAGAUCUGCGGAAGCAAUACUAACAAUUCAGUUGCCGAAACGACUGCUAUCCAAACCCUGGGCUACGCCCUAGUAGCCCCGCUGAAGUCACGAUCGUAACUGAUUACAGUGCCGUCUCCGUAGAGACACUCGCAACAGCUCUCGUGUCCUAAGUAGAGAGAGUGGCCUGGGCGUCGGCAGUUAUGGCACUCGCCUAGACCCGUAGAUCACUGGCCUUUCAAGGCUCCACCUGACAGGAGUGGCAACACCUGGGAAUACCGUCCCACCACUCGAUGUCCAAAAAAAGUACACCGCCACUACUCCUAACUUAGACACCAGCUUGUGCGAACCGUAACACAUACAGAAACACCAUGCACUCCGAGUUUACCCAACUCGAAUGCACACCGGGACACAAGCCCAAACCCCGCACUCACGUGCCUAUACACCGUAGGUCUUCCUAAGGGUCAACUUAACCAAUGGUUCAGUUUCAUUUACUUUUCAAAACAAUCUGUGAAUGGUGUUGUGGUUGUAACCUGGCUCUGAUACCACUUUAAUCUGUCACGCCCCAGGGUCCCUUUUAGGUUAAAACACAGCGAAAAAUUUUUUUUUUUUUUUUUUUGGAAACCUGACCCCAGGGUAUGCCAGAUCCGCCACAAAUACAAGGAAUCCACUGCUCACGCGGACAGAGUCUCCCCUGUAUUUGCAAAUGUAAACAAACACUGAACCACAUGAACCAACUAAACUAUACAUCAACCGAAGUAAGAAGGGUAAGAAACUAAACCGAAAUAACCUGGGUCGGAAGCUCUAUCGACCGCUACACGCGUACCUCACGCCUCGUCUCAACCCUCACCGCCCGCGAUACCUGAAAAAUGGUGGGGGAGGUGAGAACAUGUAAACAUGUCUCCCCUCCCAGUGGGUACCGCAAGCCGAUGAAGGCGAGGAGUACUCACCAGAUCAGGAAGAGCUAUACAACAACACGGGUCAGUGGAAAUAUAGUAGCAACAACAAUAAA